ensembl:lncRNA
UAUUCUCAGAGUUGGUUCUAAGACCCUGGGGUAAGAGAGCUUUAAUAUUUUGAUACACGAGCAAUGUGGAAAGUGGCCUACCAGGGCAGAAUCUGGAACCCGCGGCCAGCACCCAACACAGCCAGUGGUUUCCUGAGUGGGACAAGCCGGGAGUCACUUCCCGGGGACCGGUUGGCCUCGCCAAGGCUGCCAGGAUGCUGUGGUCUCCAUGACAACAGACUGUACGAAGGAGGAGAUGCAGCAAAGAGGUGGUGUCAUCCUGCCAAACCAACCCCCCGCCCACGCACAGCCAGCCGAGCCGCAGGAAGUGGAAUUCUUCUGGGAAAGCGGCUGACGUCGCCGGUGGCCAGGCCGCUGCCCCUGCCCAGGCAGCGCUGAUGCAAGGGCCGCGCGCGCCAGGAGGCGGCUGUCCCCGGGGAGGGCCCAGCGCUCCGUCCCGCUCCUUUCCGGCCACCCCGCCCGAUUUUCCCUGCGAGGAGUCAGCAGCUUCUGGGUGGUUCCCCCUCGAAAGGCUCAGUGUGUGCGCGCGUGUGUGCGUAUGUGUGUGUGUGGGGGGGUCCUUUGCCCAAACCAAAUCCUCUGGUCUGCUCUUCCCAGCCUGGGAUUAGAAUCUGAGCCUCCCAAUUUGGCCAGGUUUGGGCGGACGUGCAGGGCUUCCGCUGCUCCCUGCCGCUCCCUGGGGACUGCCCGGGUGGCCAGGAUACCUAGUGUCAGCGGGUGCCAAGGAAACCGCCCGGAUCACGAGGGAACCUUGUGUCUGGAUGAGGAGGUGGUGAACAGCCUCUGGGGUGGAAGUGGUCCGGCCUGGGCAGGUCUCUAUCGCCCUCUGCUGGGAAAAUAAGAAAAUUGCUUUAAAUUCCCGCCAGCCUCUCCCAGAGAUUUGGGGAGGGAUGGCAAGUGGAGUGAGGCCGGGGCGGAAAUGUUAGGGAUAACUGUCCUCAUAAAACAGAUAGGGAAACUGAGGCUCGGAGAGGACAAAGAAUUUGUCCGUACUCCCACAGCUACUCUCGGGCGAGAAUUUGCAUUGACGACCCUCAUCGGGCAGCAGUUUUGGAAGUGAGCAGCCCAGUAGUUGACUGCUUCCCCCUGAGGGGUCCCUUUACCCGCUGCCUCCUCCGUCAGGCGUCGAUCACUGCAUCCCUUCGGCGGUGCCAAGUGUGAUUGGGGACCUUGUUUCAGCGGCUCUGAGAAGUCGAAACUAUUUUCAAACAAUAUUAGGCUAUUUGGUUUUUUCAUUCUUUCUCCUCCAAGCAUGUACAGGAGAAUUUUUUAAAGACCACAUGUCAUAUGUUGCUGCAAUAGGCUGAAUGCAGAGACAGGGUCUUACAAAGUUUCUCAGACUGGCCUAGAACUUAUAGAUCCUCCUACCUCAGCCUUCUGAGCAGCUUCGAUUAAAGGUACACACCAUCACAUCCAGCCAAGACUGCAUUUCUAACAAGUUACUGAGCAAUGCUGAUGCUGAUGUUACUGGUUUGGAAUCCACAUUUUAGGAACCACAGCUUUAGACUUUGAUCUGACCUGGAGAUGGACUUACUUGGGACCUUUCAGGUGAAAUUACAUUAGGUGGCUGUUCAGUGUCAGCCAUUAGAGACCACGUACACAAUUAGGACCAGCUUCUCUCUGCUUGGGGCUAAGACUGCUAGAAGAAAUUGAGGGUCAGCCAAUUUGCACAUUGGGAGAGGUAAGAAAAUGACAAUGGAGUUUAAGAGGAACUUGGAGCUACAUUGCUGAAAGCUAUUCAGAAGAUAGACAUUAAGCUUAUUCAGUUACAAUUCUAGAAUCAACUGGAGUCAUUUUCAAAUAUCAAAGCACACAGUAAAUAGUUAUAUGGUGGGAAUUUCAGUUGUGAUGAAAAAACCUUUACAGGGGGUGGGGUAGGGGAUUUCUAAAUAUGCCAUGUAACAUUUUUGCUGUGGGGUGGAAAAUGUAUUUAAAACCAAACUAUUUGUAACUGCUUCUGCUAUCUAAAUUGGGGUGCUAGUAUAAUUUACAUCAGUGGAAAAAUGAAUCUCUACACUGGGUCUUUCCACUUAGCGAAGGGAAGAAAGAAGAUUGACGUUGUGAAACCUCUGCCAGUUGAGUUCUACUGCCAAAGGAGGGAUUACAAACUCAAAUGCCUGCAGAGGUCAGGCAGGACACACAAACCAGAGAGCCUGGUGGAUUCCGGUGAAGAGACGCCCUCUUGCCCAAUGGAAAGGGGCAGCCAUUAGUCAGCUUUAACUCGUUGCUGCCAUAUUUGGCUGAGGAGGACCUCAUGGUGUCCAAUUUUCUCUCUUCCUUCUCUUCUCUUUCUCUUUUCCUCCUCUCCCCCCUUCCCUUCUUGCAGUACUGGGGAUUGAGCCCAACACCUUCACACUGAGCUACAUCUCCAGCCCUUUUUAUUGUUUUAUUUUGAGAUGGGUCUAAGUCACUAAGUUGCCCAGGCUGGGCUCAAAUUUGCAAUUUUCCUGCUUCAGCCUCCCAGUGUGCUUGGGAUUACAGAUAGGCACCGCCACACUUUGCCAAUCUUCCAAUUUUUUGAGAGAAAUCUGAAAUCAGGGUUACAUGUGAAAUGUAUACUUUUUCUUAGCAUCUGAAAGAAAAUCAAAUUAAAUACACACACAAAUGCAUGCACAUUUUGUGCUAAGCCAAGCAAAGCAAAUGUUCCCAGGUCUGAGAUAAAAGGGUAGAAAUUGGUCUAGGUGCCCCCACCUUGAUUUGCAGUACUGGGGUUGAACCCAGAGCGUCCUCAUUGAGCUACACAUCCUUGG